rnacentral:rRNA from 1 species
UACAGAGGUCCCAAGCGUUGUUCGGAUUCACUGGGCGUAAAGGGUGCGUAGGUGGUCGGGUAAGUUUGAUGUGAAAUCUCCGGGCUUAACCCGGAAAUGGCAUUGAAUACUAUUCGGCUGGAGGGUUGGAGGGGGGACUGGAAUUCUCGGUGUAGCAGUGAAAUGCGUAGAUAUCGAGAGGAACACCAGUGGCGAAGGCGGUUGCCUGGGGCUUUGCUGACGCUGAGGCGCGAAAGCGUGGGGAGCGAUCCGG